UAAGAAUGAAAUUUAUUUUGACUUUAGUUUUGGUUUUUGCCCUAACUUUAUCAUUCGCUGAGGGACAAUUUGAACAAAUGCAAGAUUUUGGACAAGAUCUCGGACAAAUGCAAAAUGUCGAUGUUGAUCAACUAAACAUGAGAGAUAUGAUUUUACCCGGUGAUUUACGUGAACAAAUUGAAGUUGGUAUACCAGAUUUAAAAGACGAUACCAAAUCCCGUAGAACAGGAGGGUUAUACUCUGCUGGCGGAGCGAUUCUACGGAGGAUUUGGCUUUGUAGAAGAAGACCAUCUCUGUGUUGAUGCACUUCAAUAACAUGAUGCUUUAUGAAACGUCUACAGAAAUCCAGCUUCCAUGACAUUCUAUAGAUUAACUGUUGUGACAAUCUUGUCUAAAUAAUUUGACGGAUGGAUAUUGGAGCAAGAUGCCAAAGAAAAUUGUUAAUUGUAGAGAAGAGACUUAAGAGUAUAUUUGAUUUGUUUUGAAUAACAUGCAAUUGGUUGCACGCAGUUGUAGAUUAAAAUUAAAUAUUCAUUUUU